UGCCAGCAGCCGCGGUAAUAUCGGGGGAUGCAAGCGUUAUCCGGAAUCAUUGGGCGUAAAGCGCCUGUAGGUUGUUUAAUAAGUCUGUUGUUAAAGACUAGGGCUCAACCCUAGAAAAGCAAUGGAAACUACUAGACUAGAGUAUGGCAGGGGUAGAGGGAAUUUCUAGUGUAGCGGUGAAAUGCGUAGAUAUUAGAAAGAACACCAGUGGCGAAAGCGCUCUACUGGACCAUUACUGACACUCAGAGGCGAAAGCUAGGGUAGCAAAAGGGAUUAGAUACCCCUGUAGUCCUAGCCGUAAACGAUGGAUACUAGAUGUUGUAUUUAUUUUACAGUAUCGUAGCUAACGCGUUAAGUAUCCCGCCUGGGGAGUACGCUCGCAAGGGUGAAACUCAAAGGAAUUGACGGGGGCCCGCACAAGCGGUGGAGCAUGUGGUUUAAUUCGAUGCAACGCGAAGAACCUUACCAGGGCUUGACAUACUGCGAAUUUUUUUGAAAAAAAAGAGUGCCUUCGGGAAUGCAGAUACAGGUGGUGCAUGGCUGUCGUCAGCUCGUGUCGUGAGAUGUUGGGUUAAGUCCCGCAACGAGCGCAACCCUUGUUUUUAGUUACCAAUUCGUUGGGUUUUCUAGAAAGACUGCCGGUGACAAACCGGAGGAAGGUGAGGAUGACGUCAAGUCAGCAUGCCCCUUAUGUCCUGGGCUACACACGUGCUACAAUGGUUAGGACAAAGAGUUGCAAAUUUGCAAAAAUUAGCUAAUCUCGUAAACCUAGCCUAAGUUCAGAUUGUAGGCUGCAA
rnacentral:rRNA from 1 species